rnacentral:rRNA from 1 species
GCUUAACACAUGCAAGUCGAGCGAGAAUCGUUUAUUGAAGGCUUCGGCUGGAAAUAGAUGAGGAAAGCGGCGAACGGGUGAGUAACGCGUGGGCAACCUGGCCUUAAGAAAAGGAUAGCCCCCGGAAACGGGGAGUAAUACUUUAAGAGAAUAGCAAAGGGCAACCUAUUUCUAUUCAAAGAGCAAUCGCUUAAGGAUGGGCCCGCGUAUCAUUAGCUAGUUGGUGAGAUAACAGCCCACCAAGGCAACGAUGAUUAGCCGGUAUGAGAGGGAGAACGGCCACAUUGGAACUGAGAGACGGUCCAAACUCCUACGGGAGGCAGCAGUGGGGAAUAUUGCGCAAUGGAGAAGAACUCUGACGCAGCAAUACCGCGUGAGCGAAGAAGGUCUUCGGAUCGUAAAGCUCUGUUAUCAGGGAAGAAGAAAAUGACGGUACCUGAUGAGUAAGUCCCGGCUAACUACGUGCCAGCAGCCGCCGUAACAC